rnacentral:misc_RNA from 1 species
GGAACACAUACUCCCACUUUCUCAGCUAAAAAGAAAAUCAUCAACUUUGCUUCAAUUUCUCUUCAAUGCUAUGGCUAUUACACAUUAAUUUGUACAUUAAAGCUUAGAAGCUGCUCAUCAACAAGUAGUUAUGAGGGUUAUUCAAUAUGGGUCUUGCUCAUUUCCAUCAUUUCAAUUCCAAGAAUGCUCCUUUUCAAGGAAGAGAGUUGGAGUUGUCAAAGUGAUCAAGUCUAACUUGUCGAACUCAGAUGCUAAGAGAGCAAACCUUUCUGCCAGGAAGAAGGACAGAAUUAAGCUCCCCGAACAUUACAGUAUUGGUGGAGACAGUAAAUCAUUGCACAUAAGUGAGUUUCUGAGCCAUAAAUCUGGUAUUGAGGCAAUGUUGAACAAGAGAGCUUUGCAAAGCUUUGAAUCUAUUGAUUCUAAUACGUACAGGUGUACUCUUCCACAAGUUCAACUUCUAAAUUUUGAAGUUGCCCCUGUU